AGUGAACGCUGGCGGUAGGCCUAACACAUGCAAGUCGAACGGCAGCACAGUAAGAGCUUGCUCUUACGGGUGGCGAGUGGCGGACGGGUGAGGAAUACAUCGGAAUCUACUUUUUCGUGGGGGAUAACGUAGGGAAACUUACGCUAAUACCGCAUACGACCUACGGGUGAAAGCAGGGGAUCUUCGGACCUUGCGCGAUUGAAUGAGCCGAUGUCGGAUUAGCUAGUUGGCGGGGUAAAGGCCCACCAAGGCGACGAUCCGUAGCUGGUCUGAGAGGAUGAUCAGCCACACUGGAACUGAGACACGGUCCAGACUACUAAGGGAGGCAGCAGUGGGGAAUAUUGGACAAUGGGCGCAAGCCUGAUCCAGCCAUACCGCGUGGGUGAAGAAGGCCUUCGGGUUGUAAAGCCCUUUUGUUGGGAAAGAAAAGCAGCAGGUUAAUACCACGCUGUUCUGACGGUACCCAAAGAAUAAGCACCGGCUAACUUCGUG
rnacentral:rRNA from 1 species